GAAUUCCUGAGAUGUGCGUAAAACUUAUCAUAUUCAACCUACAUGACAUUAUCGGGAUUUGCAAAAUGCUUUGAAAUGUCGGACUUCAUUUAUUCACUUAAUGUGACAGAAGAUGACAGGAAGAAGUUGAGCUUAACCCACCUGCGAGGCGCAGGUAUUGAAUAUAUAAGUAAACGGCAUGUUGGGAAUCAU
rnacentral:other from 2 species